GGGUCGGUGCUCGAGUGGUUAAUGGGGACGGAUUGUAAAUCCGCUGGCAAUGCCUACGCUGGUUCGAAUCCAGCCCGACCCA
rnacentral:tRNA from 1 species